rnacentral:rRNA from 2 species
CAUGGGGCGAAGCGUGAUGCAGCACGCCGCGUGAGUGGAUGACGGCCUUCGGGUUGUAAACCUCUUUUAGCAGGGAAGAAGCGAAAGUGACGGUACCUGCAGAAAAAGCGCCGGCUAACUACGUGCCAGCAGCCGCGGUAAUACGUAGGGCGCAAGCGUUAUCCGGAAUUAUUGGGCGUAAAGAGCUCGUAGGGGGUUUGUCGCGUCUGCUGUCAAAUCCCGAGGCUCAACCUCGGGCCUGCAGUGGGUACGGGCAGACUAGAGUGCGGUAGGGGAGAUUGGAAUUCCUGGUGUAGCGGUGGAAUGCGCAGAUAUCAGGAGGAACACCGAUGGCGAAGGCAGAUCUCUGGGCCGUAACUGACGCUGAGGAGCGAAAGGGUGGGGAGCAAACAGGCUUAGAUACCCUGGUAGUCCACCCCGUAAACGUUGGGAACUAGUUGUGGGGUCCAUUCCACGGAUUCCGUGACGCAUCUAACGCAUUAAGUUCCCCGCCUGGGGAGUACGGCCGCAAGGGUAAAACUCAAAGGAAUGGACGGGGACCCGC